UGCGUAGGUGGCAGGGUAAGUCUGAUGUGAAAUCUCCGGGCUUAACCCGGAAAUGGCAUUGAAUACUAUCCUGCUCGAGGUUUGGAAGGGGGACUGGAAUUCUCGGUGUAGCAGUGAAAUGCGUAGAUAUCGAGAGGAACACCAGUGGCGAAGGCGAGUCCCUGGACAACACCUGACACUGAGGCACGAAAGCUAGGGGAGCAAACA
rnacentral:rRNA from 1 species